rnacentral:lncRNA from 1 species
UAGGAAUGUCUUAGAGAUGACCUCUGGGCUGUGUUCUGGAACCUGGCACCCAGAAGACCGAGAUUCUCAGGCAGUGUCUUAAGGUGUUUUAAGGAAGGAGACAAGGAACAUCAGUACACCACACUAGAGAUGCUCCACCUCCAACAUACUCAGCUGACUCUGCUGACUCCCUGGAAAUUCCUGAGCUGAUCCAGCCAGCUAAAGAAAGCACUUCCAUGUUCUCUGGGGUCUCAUUUUACCACCACUGAGGAAUCCUGGAAGGUUUCACCACGCCAGCAAGUCACGAUGGAGCAGUCACAUCAUCUGCAACCAGUGGGAACCGGCAUCUCCGUGACCAUGACUAUCCUAAGGGAGCCAUGGGAGAGCAUGGGAGGGUGAGCAUGCUAGUCCCACAGGUCAACCCUUCAUCUAAAGGCUUCCACUCUGCCCACAACAAACCUGACAGUCAACUUCUAUGAUGCGGGGCUCUAGCCUGAGCUUCCUGCCCUGGGCAGUCAGUGUCUUCUUUCUGGCAAGUGUGUGCUACUUUUAACAGUUAUUCAGGAAAAGUUGGACAUCCACUCUCUGUGGCUAGGUACAGGAGACCUGGCAGAAGGACAAGCGGAUGAGAAGGUGGGAGCUCAAA